GAGGACUUGAUCUUGCCAUUCUUGGUCUGAUAACCGACAUGGAGGAAGCCCUUAUCCUAGAAGUGUAGGAAAAUCCAAUCCUGUAUGACAAGAGAUUGGAGAUGUUCAAGGAUACAGAAGAAAAAACGAUGUAUGACAUGACAUUGGGCGUCAGCUUGUAAUCUCAGGUGACGUAGCGAGGUGAGGGACAACUUCCUAAAAGACGACAGAAAAUGGAGAGGAAGAGUGGUGACGGAGCUCCCUCAAACACAGCACGUAAAUACAAGUACAGUGAGGCAAUGGAAUUCCUAGUUCCUCACCUACAUAAUCGAGAAACAAGUUCAAUCUUGGAUCCUGUGUUUGAUGUGGACACACCAGGAGAAGCCUGUACCAAGCAGAAAAAAACUGAGCAGGAGAAUGGUGGGUGACAUCUGUCCACAACGUGGGUCAGGCUUCCUCGUCAUCAUCCUCAGGCACGUCCGCAACAUCAGUCCAGUCUUCAAGUCCCAACUUCACUUCAAAUCGAGGACACAAUGUUGCAGUAUUUUCAAAGCACCGAUAGUCAUGGUGACAACAUAACUGUAGAUCAAUAUUUCUCCAGCUUGUCCCCUAUUGUCCCACACUGUAAAAGUUACCUCAAUGCCAGCUCCAUUGCUAUGAGAUUAAAUUUCGGUCUUCCUAACAUUGAACAUACUACUAUAGGAAUUAAAGGUUUAGUGUCAUCUAAACCUAAGUCGAUUCCUAUUGAUGUUAUAAACAUCUCACAAUUUAAGAAUCCAAAUAUGUUUCACCGCUAAAAAGAGAGCUGAUAUCUUAUUCCCUCUGACCAUGGAGCUAAUAGCUCUAUGCUCUGACAUCACUCAAUACUCAUCCGAUUGUUAGCUAACAAAGGGACAGUGGUUUGUAGUUUGCCAGAGCUAACAACCUGUUAACAGUCUCAACAUAAAAGAUGCAAUGUCAGACAUGCAGCAUCACCAACAAAUUAAAAGCGGUGUAUAUGAUUACAUCUGAAUGACUUAUGAUAAAUCCAUAUGAAAUAAAUCAUUUGCAGGAAAUUUACAACUUUAAUGACUGAUAUCGUAUUAUA